UUUUUUAUGAUGAAGAAAGUCUAUUCUGGAUUUAAAAAAAAAUGUUCUCCCAGGACGAGGCUAUCCCAUUGCUCUUCGGGUGUGCUGAAGCCUGCGAUGUCCCCAAAUGCGGGAUACUCGACUGCAAAAUUUAUGGUAGUGGGGGACUGCGUUCGCGCUCUCCCCUG